rnacentral:rRNA from 1 species
UUAUGGGAGCUUGCUCCCGUAAAUUAGCGGCGGACGGGUGAGUAACACGUGGGCAACCUGCCUAUAAGACUGGGAUAACUUCGGGAAACCGGAGCUAAUACCGGAUAAUUCCUUUCCUCACAUGGGGAAAGGCUGAAAGAUGGUUUACGCUAUCACUUAUAGAUGGGCCCGCGGCGCAUUAGCUAGUUGGUGAGGUAAUGGCUCACCAAGGCAACGAUGCGUAGCCGACCUGAGAGGGUGAUCGGCCACACUGGGACUGAGACACGGCCCAGACUCCUACGGGAGGCAGCAGUAGGGAAUCUUCCGCAAUGGACGAAAGUCUGACGGAGCAACGCCGCGUGAGUGAUGAAGGUUUUCGGA